GAAACGGGCGCUAAUACCGCAUACGUCCUACGGGAGAAAGCAGGGGACCUUCGGGCCUUGCGCUAUCAGAUGAGCCUAGGUCGGAUUAGCUAGUUGGUGAGGUAAUGGCUCACCAAGGCGACGAUCCGUAACUGGUCUGAGAGGAUGAUCAGUCACACUGGAACUGAGACACGGUC
rnacentral:rRNA from 1 species